rnacentral:rRNA from 1 species
CCUACGGGGGGCAGCAGUGGGGAAUAUUGCACAAUGGGGGAAACCCUGAUGCAGCGACGCAGCGUGAGUGAAGAAGUCUUUCGGUAUGGAAAGCUCUAUCAGCAGGGAAGAAAAUGACGGUACGUGAUUAAGAAUCCCCGGCUAACUACGUGCCAGCAGCCGCGGUACUACGUAGGGGGCAAGCGUUAUCCGGAUUUACUGGGUGUAAGGGGAGCGUAGACGGCAGGACAAGUCUGGAGUGAAAUGCCGGGGCUUAACCCCGGAACUGCUUUGGAAACUGUGCAGCUAGAGUGCAGGAGAGGUAAGUGGAAUUCGUAGUGUAGCGGUGAAAUGCGUAGAUAUUAGGAGGAACACCAGUGGCGAAGGCAGCUUGCUGGACUGUAACUGACGCUGAGGCUCGAAAGCGUGGGGAGCGAACAGGAUUAGAUACCCCUGUAGUC